rnacentral:lncRNA from 9 species
AUGUCCAGAAGGAAAAGAGCAGCACCAGAGCACAGCGAGUCAACAGAAGGAGCAAACUCUCAAUGUUUCCAAAGCCUAGCUGUGACCACAGGGUUUCUGUCAUGGCUGGUGUCCCCGUCUGGGCUGUUGGCCUGGCCUGGCAUGUUGGUUCCGCCUGGGCUGGUAUCCUCGCCGAUCCUGGUGUCCCUGCCUGGGCUGGUGUCCCCGCCUGGGGUGUUGGCCCCACCUGGGCUGGUGGACCUGACUGGGCUGGUGGCACCAGAGGAGCUGGUGUCCCCACCUGGGUUGGUAGCCUCGCCUGGGGUGACGGACACAUCUGGGCGGGUGGACUUGCCUGGAGUGGUGGCCCCACCUGGUAUGCUGGGCCUGCCUGGGCUGGUAGCCUGGCAUCAGCUGGAGUCGUGGCCUGGUCUAGUGGCCCCAUCACCUGGGCUGCUGUCCCUAUUGGGGCCAUUGGUCCCGCAAGGCUUGGUGGCCCCACUUGGGCUGUUGCUCCUGCCUGGGGAAACGUCCCCACAUGGGCUGUUGGUCCCACCUGUGGUGGUAGCAUCACCAGGGCCACUGGUCCCAUCUGGGCUGCUGGUCCUUCCUGGGCUGGUGUCCUCACCUGGGCUGGUGGUCCCACCUGGGCUGGUCGCCUUGCCUGGACUUUUGGCCCUGCCAGGACUGGUGGCCCUAACUGGACCAGUCGCCUCACCCAGGCUGGUGGUCCCACAUGGGCUGGAGAGCCCUUUGAGAGGUUGCAUGGAGGUGGGCAGGAGGUACAGGAACUCGCCCUGUGAGUCUGUGACUCUCCUUUGUGGAGCAGGAGGGCCAAGGUGGAGAUCUUGGAUCUGGGGUCCAUGGAUGUCUGAGGAGGGGUGGCCAAGGUGGAGAUCUUGGAUCUGGGGUCCAUGGAUGUCUGAGGAGGGGUGGCCAGCUGCCUUCUGUGCAGUGUGGAGUUGGAGGCGUGGCACGUGUCCAGGUCUCUUGGCCAACAGGGCUGGGAGGGCUGCUUCCCCUCCGCGUGGGGGUCUGCUUGGUUCUGGUUCCAGACGUCCAAGCCCCUGUUGUAGAACCUGAGCACAGUGUUGAGGAGCUGGGCCAGGCCCGAGGAGGGCUGCGGGUGGAGGAGGCGCCGGGUGCGGGUGCGCAGGCUCAUCCGCCCGCAAAGGGGCUCAAAGCUGGAUGCGAACAGGAAUGUGGUACACCAAGUGUGGGUGAGAGGCCCGGGGCAGGACAGGUGGGCCUGGGGCAUGCCAUGUGCAGGUGCAGAGAAGGCGGCAGAGGACACCGCCUUGAAGAGCAAGAGCAGGAACAGCUGAAAAGCCAUAUCCUCCGUCUGGGAGACGGUGGAAGCACUGGGCUUUUAUAACUGCCUUGCCCUCAAGUCACAAUGCCUCCCUGUGACAUCCCCGUGGCCCGGGCCAAUCACGAGGCAGCUUCCGCAACCCCCUCCCCCGCCAUGCGCUUCCGGCCAAUGGCCAGGCGUCUCUCAUCCUAUCCCUCCAAACCUUCUGGUAAGAUGCCAACUCUCAUCUUUUGGCAGUUGGACAGGAGCUCACGCUGCCAUUGCCCGGGGAAGCUUGGGUCUCGCUCUGCCCUAUCACAGUCUUCAUUUCCCAGCUUGAAUGUCUCGGUGCUCCUACAACCCUCGAGGAUCUGAGAGCUGGUGGGUAUUUCUUAUGGGGUGCAGGUCCUCCCGCCCCAACUCUUGCCUGUGCUCCACCAAGAGUUUUCCAUGGCGACCCGAAGUCCACCUAGUCCCUGCCAGUGCAACUGCUCCUUUUGGGUCCACAGGUUCUGCCACCUGAUAGCCAAUACAGAGGAUAACUUCUCAAAGAAAGGCAGAUCCAAAGAAAGAUGGGUGGGCUGCAGGUAGAAUGAAGCAAGGAGGACAGAGGAGGCUAGACUCUGAGCAGAGGAUCGGUCCUCACACCCGAGGGUCCAGGGCAACAGAGGGAGCAGGCCGCCCGUCUGGUAAGGUGGUUGUGGCCUUCCUAGACACAGCCUCAUCACUCCUCCUGGGCAGUCAUUUGUCCCUUCUCUGUCGUUGUGGUCAUCACUGAAGACCUUAGUCCCAUGUGCUGCCGGCACCACUGCACCCCUGUCUUUAUUUUCUGUAACUGUUUUUUUUAGGCCACAGCCGUGGUACAUGGACCUUCCCAGACCAGAGCUCUAAUAGGAGCUGCAGCAGCCAGCCUACACCACAGGGCCAGCAAUGCAGGAUCCAAGCUGCAUCUGCAACCUACUCCACAGCUCACAGCAACACUGGAUCCCUGACCCACUGGUGAGGCCAGGGAUCGAACCCAAAUUCUCACGGAUGAUGCUCGGAUUCACUUCUGCUGUCCCACAAUGGGAACUCCCUAUCUUCCGUGACUUCUUCAGCUCCAAGGACAAUCCAUACCCUCUGCGGACUUUUGGUCCGUGACUGUCCUUACAAACAUUGUUGGUAUUUUCCCAGCAGCCAUUUCUUCUACCCGGAACCACAGUAAUACUCAUGAAUAAAAUGUGAACUGUUCGGGUCUCCUGAUGCAAUCAAUGGGCUACCUGGGAAUGCAUCGUGACUGCAGGAAAUCCAUCCCGGUCCUCCCCUUCCUCUUUGUUAGGAGUGGCUGGGGGUGUGGAGAGCAUCUUACCCUAUUCUGGCCAAUAGGGCCUGACAGGAUGCCUGGGGCAGGAGCUGGUUGGGUUGGGAUAUUUUAUCACUUCCUGAAGAAAGCCAGGUGGUAGAAGACCGUUGUCAUUUUGACCUGGUCAAGAGGUAACUUUAAGAGCUGUAACACGCAGGAGUUCCUGUCUCAGUGAACGAACCCAGUGCGGGUUUGCUCGGGAAAGCAACCCUUGCCUCUUUCCCACCUAGGCCACUCCUAUACAUAGGGCAAAUGAGCCAAGGUGCCACCCAGUGCUCUCUGUGCACUGGUUUGGUGCAGGGAGUUUGCAUCGCUUGAAAGGCACUCCAAACGUGUUCUCCUUUGAGGAGAAGCCUGAUGUGGCAUGAAAACGCCUUCUUUUCACAAGCGGGGAAAAGCAGCACCUAGUGAGCUAGAGCAAUCAGGGCAGAAUGGCAAUCUCACAAACUCCACAAAACAAGAGGAUGGAAGCUUCCUCGCUGCAAAGUAUAUUCUACUCAGUGAAUGAACACCAGCCGCAAGGAGGGUUUGCUCAGGAAAGCAACCCUUGUCUUUUUCCCACCUAGACCUCUCCUAUUCCUAGGGCAAAGGAGCCAAAAUGCUGCCAAAAAGGAAAGAGAGCAAGUGAACAAUGGAAACCACACAGCAAAUACAGCAGAGACAACAUUAACCCAAAAACAAAAUCGUGGAAAUACAUAUUCUAUUAAAUAAUGCAAACUGGCCAAGGGUGAUAAACGUGUAGAUUUAACUCGCUAAAAUAUGUUAGGUAAUUGGUAGUAUGAGUCCCUAUUGUGUCUGCCACUGAGAGGAAAAACAAGAGACAGAAAAAUAGGGAUAUUGGAGAGAGAAGGGGAGAGAGAGAGGGUGGGGAGGGGGCGAGUGAAAGGGAGAGAGAGAGAGAGAGAGAAAAGGGAUUGUGAAACAUAAAGCAAAGGGAGAGGAACAGAAUUGAAAGAUGGAAAAUAAAUUGUAAAAGUGCCCUUGGCUGUGGAUCUGCUUUUUAUGAUUAUUUCCAAAAUGUUGUUUCAUAGAAGGUUUUCUGAAGGAAAGCCAAUGGAAGGGGUUCUAUAAGUGCCACAGACAGGAACUGCGUGUUACAAUGCACUUCCCAGGGCCUCGAUGCUCUGAGCGCACCUGGGUUGGGGUGAGGGAAGAGGAGGAGGAGCCCCGAAACCACACCCAGCCUCCCUGGCAGGUGCUUUCUUCCUGCCUGGCUUCCUAGUGAUGGCCCAGGAGCUUCAGGGGGCAAAAGUGGAGGGAAGGCAGGGCUGGAGCAUUUGCCUCUGGUAAGAGUGUGCGACACUAGCAGUUGUCAAAAGCAGUUCUCUGGCAGCAACAGCAGAGGAAAUCCAAAAUAUGGCAAUAGGGGGACAUACUUAUUGAUGUUCCCCUUGAGCAGUGUUCUCACACAUUUUGUAAG